rnacentral:rRNA from 1 species
CUACGUGCCAGCAGCCGCGGUAAUACGUAGGUGGCAAGCGUUGUCCGGAAUUAUUGGGCGUAAAGCGCGCGCAGGCGGAUUGGUCAGUCUGUCUUAAAAGUUCGGGGCUUAACUCCGUGAUGGGAUGGAAACUGCCAAUCUAGAGUAUCGGAGAGGAAAGUGGAAUUCCUAGUGUAGCGGUGAAAUGCGUAGAUAUUAGGAAGAACACCAGUGGCGAAGGCGACUUUCUGGACGAAAACUGACGCUGAGGCGCGAAAGCCAGGGGAGCGAACGGGAUUAGAUACCCCGGUAGUCCUGGCCGUAAACGAUGGGUACUAGGUGUAGGAGGUAUCGACCCCUUCUGUGCCGGAGUUAACGCAAUAAGUACCCCGCCUGGGGAGUACGACCGCAAGGUUGAAACUCAAAGGAAUUGACGGGGGCCCGCACAAGCGGUGGAGUAUGUGGUUUAAUUCGACGCAACGCGAAGAACCUUACCAGGUCUUGACAUUGAUGGACAGAACUAGAGAUAG